GCCUACGGGACGCAGCCGUGAGGAAUAUUGGUCAAUGGCCGAGAGGCUGAACCAGCCAAGUCGCGUGAGGGAAGACGGCCCUACGGGUUGUAAACCUCUUUUGUCGGGGAGCAAAGCGAGUCACGUGUGACUCAUUGAGAGUACCCGAAGAAAAAGCAUCGGCUAACUCCGUGCCAGCAGCCGCGGUAAUACGGAGGAUGCGAGCGUUAUCCGGCUUUAUUGGGUUUAAAGGGUGCGUAGGCGGGCUGUGAAGGCAGCGGUAAAAGCCCGGGGCUCAACCACGGCGAGCCGUUGGAACUGGCUGG
rnacentral:rRNA from 1 species